GGAGGUGCUGAAGAUGGUUCCUUUGGGAUUCCAUUUUAACGAUCUAAUUUACCAGCUAAAUCUAUUUAAGUUUUUAUUCUUUUUAUUUGGGAGUUUUAUGAACACUGAAUCUAGGCUGUGACAAUAUCUUGAACAGGCAACAUGAAAGGGCAGUUCAAAGGACCAGGAGUGCAGCAGCAUAUUCUGCUACGGCAGCAAUAUGUAAUGAAGCAGAAUGUAAUCUACAAACUAGGCCAUGGCCUGAACUGGUGACUUGACGAGUGGCUGAUAAAUACUGACAGAGCCUGUGCACAGAGAGAGAAAGUCUGCCUCCAGUCGAGUUUGCAGGAAACUCCCCGCCACUCCUGUCAGAUAAGCAGUGCAGUGAACCUUGCCUGUGGAACUCAAGUGCCUCUAGGCCCCAGGAGAUAACUCUGGCCAAAAAAGCCCUGCUGGAAUAGAAGGAAGAGAGACGUGCUUGUAAGGUACAGAGCUGACUCCUUAAGGGCCUGUGCAGUGAGGAGAAUCAAGCCACUGGAACUUUUAAACUGGUUUGCUACCCCAGUUGAGCUCUACCUAUUGCUGCAUUGCCUUCAAACACAACAGAAUAUCUGGUUCAUUAGUGAACACAGGUGCUCACCUUAAAAAAAGAUUCACUCCAGAGUCUGAUCUGGAUACAGCAAUUGCCACCAGUAAAAGCUGAUGGAGUGAGGGGGAAGCAUUCAACCUGACACAUAAGGAACAUGAAGCAAACAAAAUCAGAAUGAUCUCAUCAGGCAGGUUCAGAAUAUGCAGAUUUUCCACUAAAGAAGAAUUCUGAACUUAGAUCUCCAAUGACAUGAAAAUCAACAUUUCACCUGUCUGUGGCACAGCAAAUAAAACAACAAAUGAGUUUUGGAUAGUGCCAUGGCUCCAUUUUGUUGUCCCUUUUCUCAGUUAAACACAUCCAUGUGGUUUAUGUCUUCAGCAAGGCUAUUAUUCAGCCUAUACGGUAACACAAUAUGGACCUUAUUUUGUGAUUUACCGGACAUUUCAAAAAUCACACAACAGUGGAUUUUCUCACUGUACAAAAUCUCUUAAAUAAAGGCACUUUAACUUUCAUUUUCAGUCUUCUAUCUCCUUCCUUCUGCUUGACCAAACCCAGAUUUCUCAUUUUAAACAAAAGAGAAAAUGCUACUCACCAGUAACCUAUCCCUUACAUCAGUGCUCCUCAAGCCACCUGAUGUGUGGUACUGGCAUUUUUUUCCCUCAAUGUGCCAGGGACCAAUGCCACAUUAUUAUCCUAUUCGACGCUCUUAUGAGGAAAC